rnacentral:rRNA from 1 species
AUUAAAGUGGCACGCGAGCUGGGUUCAGAACGUCGCGAGACAGUUCGGUCCCUAUCUGUUGUGGGCGUUGGAAGUUUGAGUGGAUCUGACCUUAGUACGAGAGGACCGGGUUGGACAGACCUCUGGUGAACCUGUUAUGCCGCCAGGUGUACGGCAGGGUAGCUACGUCUGGAAUAGAUAAGCGCUGAAAGCAUCUAAGUGCGAAACUAGCCACGAGAUGAGACUUCCUUAUAGGGUCGUAGAAGAUGACUACGUUGAUAGGCCAUAGGUGUAAAGGUUGAGAGACCAAAGCCAAGUGGUACUAAUAGCCCGAAGCUUUCUCAAG